rnacentral:rRNA from 1 species
UACGAAGGGGGCUAGCGUUGUUCGGAAUUACUGGGCGUAAAGCGCACGUAGGCGGAUGUGCCAGUCAGGGGUGAAAUCCCAAGGCUCAACCUUGGAACUGCCUCCGAUACAGCACGUCUCGAGUCCGGAAGAGGUGAGUGGAAUUCCUAGUGUAGAGGUGAAAUUCGUAGAUAUUAGGAAGAACACCAGUGGCGAAGGCGGCUCACUGGUCCGGUACUGACGCUGAGGUGCGAAAGCGUGGGGAGCAAACAGG